rnacentral:rRNA from 1 species
AAUGAUACCCGGGUAGUCCACGCCGUAAACGAUGAGUGCUAAGUGUUGGAGGGUUUCCGCCCUUCAGUGCUGCAGCUAACGCAUUAAGCACUCCGCCUGGGGAGUACGGUCGCAAGACUGAAACUCAAAGGAAUUGACGGGGGCCCGCACAAGCGGUGGAGCAUGUGGUUUAAUUCGAAGCAACGCGAAGAACCUUACCAGGUCUUGACAUCUCCUGACCGCCCUGGAGACAGGGUCUUCCCUUCGGGGACAGGAUGACAGGUGGUGCAUGGUUGUCGUCAGCUCGUGUCGUGAGAUGUUGGGUUAAGUCCCGCAACGAGCGCAACCCUUGGUUCUAGUUGCCAGCAUUCAGUUGGGGCACUCUAGAGCGACUGCCGGCGACAAGUCGGAGGAAGGUGGGGGAUGACGUCAAAUCAUCAUGCCCCUUAUGACCUGGGCUACACACGUGCUACAAUGGAUGGUACAAAGGGCAGCGAAGCGGCGACGCAUAAGCGAAUCCCUGAAAACCAUUCUCAGUUCGGA